AGAGUUUGAUCAUGGCUCAGAAUGAACACUAGCGGCGUGCUUAACACAUGCAAGUCGUACGAGAACUCUUUAGCUUGCUAAAGAUAGUAAAGUGGCGCACGGGUGAGUAACGCGUGGGUAAUCUACCUCUGAAUUUGGGAUAACUCCGCGAAAGCGGGGCUAAUACCGGAUAAUAUUUCAGGAUUUUCGGGUCUUGAAAUCAAAAGUGGCCUCUACAUGUAAGCUACUGUUUGGAGAUGAGCCCGCGUACCAUUAGCUUGUUGGUAGGGUAAUGGCCUACCAAGGCUACGAUGGUUAGCUGGUCUGAGAGGAUGAUCAGCCACACUGGAACUGAUACACGGUCCAGACUCCUACGGGAGGCAGC
rnacentral:rRNA from 1 species